CGUGUGUGGGUGUUGCAAUAUAAACUCGAAAGCUGCGCUUCAUACGUGUACGACGGUGGGUGUUAGCUCUAAAUAAAAUGAUACUAAUUUAAGAAUCCCUUAAGUCAGCCGACUUGUUUUACAGGCCUAGUUAUAUAGGCCAGUAGAAGCAAGUUGUGGUUCAUGAUUAUAAAAGUGUUACGGUUCAAUAAUACUGAAUAGAAGAGGUUGACAACACUCAGCUUUGCUGGAUAAAAGCCUGUAUGUCUGCUGAUUUUCAGCCAUCUCUGUGUUUGUAUUCCACAGCCCUGCAUUUCAUUCAGCGGAAACUUUUCAAUCAUGGAAAACGACGUGAACAGAAAGACCUCUUGGAGGAAGACAGUAUUGAGAAUAUUUGAUCUGUUUCUGGUCAUCUUCAUUAUAACGCCCUGCUGUAUAUUAGCCUGGCGAGGGACUUGGCUUCUAAUGGACUACUACAUUCUACCAAAAAAAAGCAAAGCUAGUUGUUGGAUAUCCCUUUUAUUGGGGAUUACAUAUUCUAUUUGUUGCCAUUUAAUUCAAGAGGUACUUAAUCGUACAUGCACUAGACUUCGCACCAUUCAAGUUGUCUACAUUAUUGUUACCCGCUUGUAUUAUUAUUUGGCCGGAGUUUUUUCAAUAAGCGUGUGGCGUGGGGUCUGGGGUCUUUUGGAUGCGUAUUUGGGUAAAAGUAUCUUAAAUGCUACUGUAUCAUGUGUAUUAGGUUUGAUAGUGAUAAUUCCAUUCCGUGGUGUAAGUAAUCUAUCGUUCCCGCCAGGAUUUUUGUCGUACGAUUGGAACGAGAAACCAUUUGAUUUGUUCCACACACGUUUUAAUAUGCAACAACGAGACACAACAUUUCAUGAGGCCGUUAAGCAUGUUGCAGAUUUGUUGGUCUCAUAUAUUUUGCUGAUUCCCGCUUCCGUCGUAAUUUGGAGAGGUGUAUGGGAAUGUACUGACCUAAUCCUGUAUCCGAAGAAUCUCGGAAUGUCCGGAAUAGUAUCCACUGCAUCCGGGUACUCGCUGUUCUUAAUACUUCUUGUUCUUAAUCCUGGUGUUCAACGAAUCUCACACAAACUGUCUAGUUUCUGGUUGCUGCGGUUGAUCGUCCUGCAAUUAUAUGCAUUUAUACAAUUUAUAGCAGUGAACAGUAUGUGGAGAGGUAUUUUUAAUUUACUUGAUGCAUUUGUGUUUCCUGAUUCAAAGUUGAAUCGUGGCAUCACUGCACAUGUGAUAGGUUUCGGCGCCCUCAUCAUCUUGGGGGCUUCGAGAUCAACGGGUCAAGUGUCAUUUAUGGUUGAUGGAGCAGAUGAAUCUGAGCCAGUAAAAUACCUUUCACACUUACGGAAGGCUUGUAGUAAUGGGCGGUACUCUCUACUAGUCGAUGCAUCAAGUGAAGACCAAUCCCAAUCUGCUAGUGAUGAGGAUGAAAACAGCAAUACAGAUGAAAUUACAAAUUCAAAUAAACCUGAUAUUAUAUGACAACUUUAGCUUCGGCAAGAUUCAGAUUUUAAUUACAUUUUAAUAAUGUAUAAUAACUAAUCAAAUAUUUUUACUCCAUCUUUUUAUCUUUUAAAAUUAUCAAUUGAAUAGAAACCAAGUACAGUAUAGUGUGCUAUUGAAACUUAUAUCAAUUACAAUACAGUACAAUAUACAGUAUAGCCUUUGGAAAGGACUAUUCCAUUUGUUUACGGGUGUGAAUUGGUUUAAUUUUUUAGCCAUUAAUUCUUAAACAUUUUACUGUACUUGGAUUUUUGCAGAUGCUUUAACUAUCCUUCAUGAAAUACAUUCUCACCUAUGUUAUAGGACAAUAAUAAACAAGAAGUAUAUAAACUCAUUUGUGUACAAAGGAAGAUGCUAUAUAAAUUUAAUAUAUUAUUUUAAUGUUUACAUGUACCUCAAUGCUUGUACAGUAUUAGGUUAAUUUAUUUGUACCCUCUGAGGUAUCAUUUUGUCAUCUCUGUUAAAGUCAUUGUGUAAGUCAUUCUGACAUUUGUAGGACAAACAGAUCCUAUUGUCAACUUUUGUCUACUGUGUGUUUUACAUGUUAGUAAAUCUAACAAAACCUGUAUAUUAAUAAUAAUCAAAGAAAGUUUUAGCUUGGUAACUUAGAUUACAGUCUUCCAUUUCCAAGGUCCUAAGUUCAAUUCCUGCAGAUGCCAGGGUUUUCCUUCAUGACUAAAAACAACUUCAUUUACUAACCGUAUAAUAAGGUAUAUUUUAAAGAUUAUCACUUGUUAAUAGUGAGUGAGUCAAUGAAUGUGAACGUAAUUAAGAAAAAUAUUAGUACACUGUUGCUCUGUAUAAAAUUAUUUUUUUAAUUGAUAAACAAAAUAGCUGUACAGUAAUUAUAACUAUUAUUAUUUUAAAAGCAAGCAAUAAAUAUAGAAAGACUUAGUCUUAUUAUCAAGUGCAAAUAAUUAAGAUAUCCAUCGUGUUUUAUAUCUUAAUAAAAUGUACAUUUCUUACAUUUUAAACAGUUGACGAAAUAGAAUUAGUGUAAUUGAUAAAUAAAUUAGGCAACAAGAUGCUUUAGGUGAACCGCAAGCAUUUAUAAAAGUAUGCAGUGCAUUUCUUUCUGUGAUUUACAGUGAACUGCCGUACUGUUCAGUGCUUUAAGUUUAAUUGAUUUAAGUUAGUCUGUAAAGUGUUGGACUACUUUAUCUUUCUUGCUGUAUUCAAGUUAUUUAGACCAGUGGUGGCGUUGGCAAGACUCCGGGAUACAGUACUCUAUAUUAAGAAUCCUGAACCCCCAAUUAUUUUAUUGAGGAACACUACUUUGGAAAUGCAUUUUCGCAAUCGUAAAGUGCUAUUUCUGGGCUCGAAAAGGUGUCCAUUCUUAGAAUUUGCUCACUUGAGCCCCAACCAUGCUAAGGAACAUGGAUUCCCUUUGGGGAGUCUCUGGUGCCAACACUGAUUAGACUAACAUGGCUACACAAACUAUUUUAAUUGGACAAGAUUAUGAAAACUAGCUAAUGUAAGAUAGACUUAUAAGAAACUUUAUUUUUGCAUUCAACAUGUUAAAGUGAAAUCUUUUUAUGAUGAAAUUCUUUCAAUGAUCGUCUUUGUUUAAUCUAUUGGCAUUUGUUAAUUGUACUUGUCAUGACCAGUAAUGCAAAAUAUAUGGUCCUGGAUCUUUAUUACUUCUAGUUUCACCAACAUGCAGUAGUGUAUGUUAGUAUUUCAGCUAUUACAGUAGCUUAGCCAAUCGUAUCCCUUGUAGCAUAUGUGGCAAAGACAAGCCAAACCAGUCACUCGUCGCAAAUCGUGUUUUAGAGAAAAUGGCCAA